UGACUCUGUUCAACGGCCGCGGUAUCCUAACCGUGCGAAGGUAGCGUAAUCACUUGUUCUUUAAAUGAGGACUAGUAUGAAUGGCACCACGAAGGUUAUACUGUCUCCUUUUUCUAAUCAGUGAAACUAAUCUUCCCGUGAAGAAGCGGGAAUAUAAAUAUAAGACGAGAAGACCCUAUGGAGCUUUAAACAAACAUACAACUGCCUUCUUUUAUAAAUAUUUCAGAAGAAAACUUUUAUUUAGGCAUUUUGAUAUAGAGUUUUAGGUUGGGGUGACCACGGAGUAAAAAACAACCUCCGCAAUGAAAGGGACUCUUCCCCUAAGCUAAGGGCUACAACCCUAAGAAUCAAAAAAUUGACACCAAUUGACCCAAUAUAUUUGAUCAAUGAACCAAGUUACCCUAGGGAUAACAGCGCAAUCCACUUCAAGAGCCCCUAUCGACAAGUGGGUUUACGACCUCGAUGUUGGAUCAGGGUAUCCUAGUGGUGCAGCCGCUACUAACGG
rnacentral:rRNA from 1 species